rnacentral:rRNA from 1 species
AACGAACGCUGGCGGCAGGCCUAACACAUGCAAGUCGAACGCUUCAGCAAUGAAGAGUGGCAGACGGGUGAGUAACGCGUGGGAAACCUUCCCAGUGGUACGGAAUAGCCCAGGGAAACUUGGGGUAAUACCGUAUAAGCCCUUCGGGGGAAAGAUUUAUCGCCAUUGGAUGGGCCCGCGUCGGAUUAGCUUGUUGGUGAGGUAAAAGCUCACCAAGGCGACGAUCCGUAGCUGGUCUGAGAGGAUGAUCAGCCACACUGGGACUGAGACACGGCCCAGACUCCGUACGGGAGGCAGCAGGUGGGGAAUAGUUGGACAAGUGGGCGCAAGCCUGAUCCACGCCAUGCCGCGUGAGUGAACGAACGGCCGUUAGGGUUAGUAAAGCUUCGUUUUGGCGGGGACGAUAAUGACGGUACCCGCAGAAUAAGCUCCGGCUAACUUCGUG